GUCGUAAAAGGGGACGCGGAGGAGAAGGAAAGUCGCUCAAGCAGUGGACAGAGCGGAGAAAGCGACUUCGGGUCUGCUGGAGUUUGCUGGAGGUGCACUCCAGACUCUGUUUGCCUGCCUAUCACCAACAGAGGCUGCAGAACAGCAAAGAUUGCUGUCUGUAACUUCCUCUGGAAGCUUCAUCCCAGAGGGGCACCUGCCAGAUGCCAGCCGGAGCUCUCCUCUAUGAGUGAAUGAAGGAGGGAAGAAAGGAGAGACAGAGAAAAUAUGGAUUUCCUCAUGGUUGUGAUUCCUCUUCACUCUUUUGAAUUUGGAAGGAUGGCAUACACAUCUGAAAAAUACCACUACUUCCUUCAUUGGACUGCAAGGUAUUUCUGUUUGGAAAAGUAAUGGAGUCCAGUCAACUUCAUUGAUCGCCAAGGACUGUCAAAAUUAUAAAACUUGCUGUGGAGCUCUGACAUGCCAGAAGCCGCUAGAAAAAGAAGUUUGACAUUCAGAAACUUAUCAAGAGGUUCUACUCUUUGGAUAGAGACCAAAAUCAUACUUUGAAUGAUAUGCAAUGCAAGACUCCCAAGAUUCUGGGCAGUGGCAGGGAGGUGCAGCUUCUAGUCUGCCGCAUGAUCACAAUGUCAGCUGGUCCCUCUUCUCAGGUGUAGAUCACCUAUUAUAAUUUUACCUAAUUUUGAUACUCUGAUAAGGAAAGUCCCAGGACUUAUCAGCUGGGAUAGGCCUCACUUACAAGACAGCUCUGUUCAGUAUUUGGAAGAAAGCCUGACAGGUUUCUUCGGAAAAGUGGCCAUCCAUGGAAUGAAUGAAAUGUUCUCUUUCUAUUCCACCUCUAGAGACCAUCAAAAAACAAUGGCUCAUAAUGCUUUUAGAACAGAAACUGAAGUUGUAUACUGUGCAUAUGUAAUCCUACACAAGAGGAAGGCAAUGUUUAAAGCUGCUGUCACCUCUUAGGGAAAAAACUGGAAUUCUGAGUCAAGGGAUUGCAGUGGCAAAGCUAGGCUAGGUCUUGGAGGCUGGUGUAAGGCGAUGUGGGUGAAGGCAGGAGGCUGAUGGAAAGACUGGGGGGAAGAAAAGCCGAAAUGGAUUCACGGUGCCUUGGAUGAAGGACGAGAGGGGAACUGCAAGCUCCUUCAACUGGUUCUGUCCGGUGAGAAGUGAUCAAGCUUGGGCUGACAAGAGGCUCAGGGAGCCCUCACGUUCUUUCGCUUUUUUACCUGCCAAUCAAACUGCUACAAGACAACACCCUGAUCUGGCAUGGACAUGUAAAAGCAAUAGUCUUGGAAAAGCGAAUCUACCAGCAGGGGGCGCACCAGCCACAUCCCUGAAACCAGCCGCGCUGAAAAGCCGGUGGCCGCCUUCUCUUCCCCAGAUCUUCUCAACCUUUUCUCUUUCCUAAUCUCCAGGUCCGUGUUUACCUUAAUAUUACACCUGGAUUAAACAGAAAACAGUGCUGUAUUUUGAAGAGCGCCGAAUAUGUAUGCAUUUUGAGAAACCCAAUCUCACCCUUUCCGGGUUCCCAAGAACUAAAACAAGCCAUAACUUGAGAGAAAAAGGAGAACCUUCGGGGGGCAGGAAGGUUGAUUGGAAAUAACUUAAGGAAAGUCUGCAGAAUUCUUUUUUUUACAACUUUUCUGAGUUUCCAGUGGGUAUAUUUAGUGUGAGUUUGACAGUAACAGGCUAGGGAGGGCAGAGAUUGGAGAAAUUGGGGGUCGGGGGAGUGAUUAUGGGAAGAAGGUUAGUAAGGAACAAAACAAUGCACCGUUUUGUAAAGAUAAUAAAUGGAACGUGGCUGGUAGAUACUAUUCAGUACAUUUUCUUAGGGUGAGUAAGGGUAGACCAGGGGAGGAGGGGGCGGAGAGAGUGUUACAGAAGAAAGAAAAUAAGUAACCC
rnacentral:lncRNA from 1 species